CAAGUCGACGAUGAAGUUCCUUCGGGAAUGGAUUAGUGGCGAACGGGUGAGAAACACGUGAGAAACCUGCCUUUCAUUUUGGGAUAACUCCGGGAAACCGGAGCUAACACCGAAUACUCCGUCUCGGCGGCAUCGCUGAGCCGGGAAAAAAUUUUGAUGAAAGAUGGUCUCGCGGCCUAUCAGCUAGUUGGUGAGGUAAUGGCUCACCAAGGCGACGACGGGUAGCCGGCCUGAGAGGGCGACCGGCCACACUGGGACUGAGACACGGCCCAGACUCCUACGGGAGGCAGCAGUGGGGAAUAUUGGGCAAUGGGCGCAAGCCUGACCCAGCGACGCCGCGUGAGGGAUGAAGGCCUUCGGGUUGUAAACCUCUUUCAGUAGGGAAGAAGCGAAAGUGACGGUACCUAAAGAAGAAGCACCGGCUAACUAUGUGCCAGCAGCCGCGGUAAUACAUAGGGUGCAAGCGUUGUCCGGAAUUAUUGGGCGUAAAGAGCUCGUAGGUCGUUUGCCACGUCGAUUGUGAAAAUCUGAGGCUCAACCUCAGACCUGCAGUCGAUACGGGCAAACUAGAGUGUGGUAGGGGAGACUGGAAUUCCUGGUGUAGCGGUGGAAUGCGCAGAUAUCAGGAGGAACACCAAUGGCGAAGGCAGGUCUCUGGGCCAUAACUGACACUGAGGAGCGAAAGCGCGGGGAGCGAACAGGAUUAGAUACCCUGGUAGUCCGCGCCGUAAACGAUGGGCACUAGCUGUGAGAACCUUCCACGGUUUUCGCGACGCAGCAAACGCAUUAAGUGCCCCGCCUGGGGAGUACGAUCGCAAGAUUAAAACUCAAAGGAAUUGACGGG
rnacentral:rRNA from 1 species